rnacentral:rRNA from 1 species
GAAUAUUGGACAAUGGGCGCAAGCCUGAUCCAGCCAUGCCGCGUGUGUGAAGAAGGUCUUCGGAUUGUAAAGCACUUUAAGUUGGGAGGAAGGGCAGUAAGUUAAUACCUUGCUGUUUUGACGUUACCGACAGAAUAAGCACCGGCUAACUUCGUGCCAGCAGCCGCGGUAAUACGAAGGGUGCAAGCGUUACUCGGAAUUACUGGGCGUAAAGCGUGCGUAGGGGGUUCGUUAAGUCGGCCGUGAAAGCCCCGGGCUCAACCUGGGAAUUGCGGUGGAUACUGGCGGACUAGAGUGCGGUAGAGGGUGGUGGAAUUCCCGGUGUAGCAGUGAAAUGCGUAGAGAUCGGGAGGAACAUCUGUGGCGAAGGCGGCCACCUGGACCAGCACUGACACUGAGGCACGAAAGCGUGGGGAGCAAACAGG